GAGGGUGUGGACCAUGGGGAACUAAGACAACUUUUCAAUCAAUGCCUAUGGAAAUCCAGUGUUUCUCUGCAGAAAGGAGAAAGAAAUUAUUCAGUUCAGUUUAAAGGCUCAGGAGGAAGACAACAAUUUUUAAUCCCUUUUUUCAGUGCAGGCUGGGGAAGAGGCAUGGUUCUGGAGUCCUGUGAUUGGUUCUGCCCAAGCCAGCUCUUGCUGAUGGGCAGGAGCCUCAUUAUCUUAAGACAACACACAGUGGAGACGUGCUUUACGUAAUUGGCCUGCCCUGUGAAAACUCCUGGCUGUUUUUUCAGAUAAGGAGACUGAAGCAUCUAGAGUUGGAGUAAUUUCCACAAGAUCACAG